ACACAAAAAUGCACAUACUGUGAGCUCGAUGAGUAGGGCGGGACACGUGGUAUCCUGUCUGAAUAUGGGGGGACCAUCCUCCAAGGCUAAAUACUCCUGACUGACCGAUAGUGAACCAGUACCGUGAGGGAAAGGCGAAAAGAACCCCGGCGAGGGGAGUGAAAAAGAACCUGAAACCGUGUACGUACAAGCAGUGGGAGCACGCUUAGGCGUGUGACUGCGUACCUUUUGUAUAAUGGGUCAGCGACUUAUAUUCUGUAGCAAGGUUAACCGAAUAGGGGAGCCGAAGGGAAACCGAGUCUUAACUGGGCGUUAAGUUGCAGGGUAUAGACCCGAAACCCGGUGAUCUAGCCAUGGGCAGGUUGAAGGUUGGGUAACACUAACUGGAGGACCGAACCGACUAAUGUUGAAAAAUUAGCGGAUGACUUGUGGCUGGGGGUGAAAGGCCAAUCAAACCGGGAGAUAGCUGGUUCUCCCCGAAAGCUAUUUAGGUAGCGCCUCGUGAAUUCAUCUCCGGGGGUAGAGCACUGUUUCGGCAAGGGGGUCAUCCCGACUUACCAACCCGAUGCAAACUGCGAAUACCGGAGAAUGUUAUCACGGGAGACACACGGCGGGUGCUAACGUCCGUCGUGAAGAGGGAAACAACCCAGACCGCCAGCUAAGGUCCCAAAGUCAUGGUUAAGUGGGAAACGAUGUGGGAAGGCCCAGACAGCCAGGAUGUUGGCUUAGAAGCAGCCAUCAUUUAAAGAAAGCGUAAUAGCUCACUGGUCGAGUCGGCCUGCGCGGAAGAUGUAACGGGGCUAAACCAUGCACCGAAGCUGCGGCAGCGACGCUUAUGCGUUGUUGGGUAGGGGAGCGUUCUGUAAGCCUGUGAAGGUGUGCUGUGAGGCAUGCUGGAGGUAUCAGAAGUGCGAAUGCUGACAUAAGUAACGAUAAAGCGGGUGAAAAGCCCGCUCGCCGGAAGACCAAGGGUUCCUGUCCAACGUUAAUCGGGGCAGGGUGAGUCGACCCCUAAGGCGAGGCCGAAAGGCGUAGUCGAUGGGAAACAGGUUAAUAUUCCUGUACUUGGUGUUACUGCGAAGGGGGGACGGAGAAGGCUAUGUUGGCCGGGCGACGGUUGUCCCGGUUUAAGCGUGUAGGCUGGUUUUCCAGGCAAAUCCGGAAAAUCAAGGCUGAGGCGUGAUGACGAGGCACUACGGUGCUGAAGCAACAAAUGCCCUGCUUCCAGGAAAAGCCUCUAAGCAUCAGGUAACAUCAAAUCGUACCCCAAACCGACACAGGUGGUCAGGUAGAGAAUACCAAGGCGCUUGAGAGAACUCGGGUGAAGGAACUAGGCAAAAUGGUGCCGUAACUUCGGGAGAAGGCACGCUGAUAUGUAGGUGAAGCGACUUGCUCGUGGAGCUGAAAUCAGUCGAAGAUACCAGCUGGCUGCAACUGUUUAUUAAAAACACAGCACUGUGCAAACACGAAAGUGGACGUAUACGGUGUGACGCCUGCCCGGUGCCGGAAGGUUAAUUGAUGGGGUCAGCGCAAGCGAAGCUCUUGAUCGAAGCCCCGGUAAACGGCGGCCGUAACUAUAACGGUCCUAAGGUAGCGAAAUUCCUUGUCGGGUAAGUUCCGACCUGCACGAAUGGCGUAAUGAUGGCCAGGCUGUCUCCACCCGAGACUCAGUGAAAUUGAACUCGCUGUGAAGAUGCAGUGUACCCGCGGCAAGACGGAAAGACCCCGUGAACCUUUACUAUAGCUUGACACUGAACAUUGAGCCUUGAUGUGUAGGAUAGGUGGGAGGCUUAGAAGUGUGGACGCCAGUCUGCAUGGAGCCGACCUUGAAAUACCACCCUUUAAUGUUUGAUGUUCUAACGUUGACCCGUAAUCCGGGUUGCGGACAGUGUCUGGUGGGUAGUUUGACUGGGGCGGUCUCCUCCUAAAGAGUAACGGAGGAGCACGAAGGUUGGCUAAUCCUGGUCGGACAUCAGGAGGUUAGUGCAAUGGCAUAAGCCAGCUUGACUGCGAGCGUGACGGCGCGAGCAGGUGCGAAAGCAGGUCAUAGUGAUCCGGUGGUUCUGAAUGGAAGGGCCAUCGCUCAACGGAUAAAAGGUACUCCGGGGAUAACAGGCUGAUACCGCCCAAGAGUUCAUAUCGACGGCGGUGUUUGGCACCUCGAUGUCGGCUCAUCACAUCCUGGGGCUGAAGUAGGUCCCAAGGGUAUGGCUGUUCGCCAUUUAAAGUGGUACGCGAGCUGGGUUUAGAACGUCGUGAGACAGUUCGGUCCCUAUCUGCCGUGGGCGCUGGAGAACUGAGGGGGGCUGCUCCUAGUACGAGAGGACCGGAGUGGACGCAUCACUGGUGUUCGGGUUGUCAUGCCAAUGGCACUGCCCGGUAGCUAAAUGCGGAAGAGAUAAGUGCUGAAAGCAUCUAAGCACGAAACUUGCC
rnacentral:rRNA from 1 species